CAAGCACUGUCGAUGUCAUCAUGUACGUCCGCAUGAUCGAUCCAACAACACUGGCAUUGGCAACUCCAACCUUGUUGAACCAUUUCAAUCCCUGAUUUUCAAUCAUCCGCCUCAGUCAAAGAACGCCAAAAUGAUGCGAAUGGGUGCACCCGGUGGUCGCGGAUUCAGGGCCUUGGAAAGGUCCAAAGAAGAGAUUGAAAGGGAACGUGCAGAGAGGAUGUUCACAGUCAAGUUGUUCUUCACCAUUGCAACUGUUCUUAGAGCCGGUGGUUGGGCGUUUCAGACAUUUGUCGCUGCAUGAUGAUGCUUCAGAAUCUCGAAUGUAUAAAGCCACUACUCAGCCAGUGCUCAGAUUGGGAUGAAGCGAGUUGCAAACGUUUGACAGCAGUACCGGAUUGCUUAUCUUGUGUCGAUGAGCUCCUUUCCUGGCUUCGUGUUUGUAGGUUUUGUCUAAUUCCCAUCAGUGAUAUGGAGUUGGGUGUGUCAAGAACUUUGAUCAUUACGUAACUGUGUCGACCGUUGCCUAUAUGGGCUCGCCAACAAACACUGCUGCUUACUUGCAAUCCCAUGCCUACUCAAGUGCACUUGUGUGUGUGUUGAUUUUUCCAAUCGCACCACAUUUGUAUUGCAGUACUACUUCUUGAACCCAGCACAUGUACCUGCUUACAGUCCCUUCGACGGACAGCCAAUGGUGGUGUUUCAUUAUACACGAUGUGCAAGCCAUACUUUGGUUUUUGUACAGUGAGAAUACAGGCUUUGUUGUUGUUUCUGACAACUCCCUACAAAAUUCUUCAAACUGA